rnacentral:rRNA from 1 species
AGUGAACGCUGGCGGUAGGCCUAACACAUGCAAGUCGAACGGCAGCACAGUAAGAGCUUGCUCUUACGGGUGGCGAGUGGCGGACGGGUGAGGAAUACAUCGGAAUCUACUUUUUCGUGGGGGAUAACGUAGGGAAACCUACGCUAAUACCGCAUACGACCUACGGGUGAAAGCAGGGGAUCUUCGGACCUUGCGCGAUUGAAUGAGCCGAUGUCGGAUUAGCUAGUUGGCGGGGUAAAGGCCCACCAAGGCGAGGAUCCGUAGCUGGUCUGAGAGGAUGAUCAGCCACACUAGAACUGAGACACGGUCCAGACUCCUACGGGAGGCAGCAGUGGGGAAUAGUGGACAAUGGGCGCAAGCCUGAUCCAGCCAUACCGCGUGGGUGAAGGAGGCCUUCGGGUUGUAAAGCCCUUUUGUUGGGAAAGAAAAGCAGCAGGUUAAUACCCCGCUGUUCUGACGGUACCCAAAGAAUAAGCACCGGCUAACUACGUG